AGAGCGAACGCUGGCGGCAGGCCUAACACAUGCAAGUCGAGCGCCCGUAGCAAUACGGGAGCGGCAGACGGGAUAGUAACACGUGGGAACGCGCCCUUCGGUUCGGAAUAACUCAGGGAAACUUGAGCUAAUACCGAAUACGCCCUUACGGGGAAAGAUUUAUUGCCGAAGGAACGGCCCGCGUCCGAUUAGCUAGUUGGUGAGGUAAUGGCUCACCAAGGCUACGAUCGGUAGCUGGUCUGAGAGGAUGACCAGCAUCACUGGGACUGAGACACGGCCCAGACUCCUACGGGAGGCAGCAGUGGGGAAUAUUGGACAAUGGGCGCAAGCCUGAUCCAGCCAUGCCGCGUGGAUGAUGAAGGCCUUAGGGUUGUAAAGUCCGUUUUAACGGGGAGAUAAUGACGGUACCCGUAGAAUAAGCCCCGGCUAACUUCGCGCCAGCAGCCGC
rnacentral:rRNA from 1 species